GAAAGUUUGGAGACACUCGACUGAAAUGUUUCUCAUGAUCUGAAGGUGUGGGAUUAAAUGCUUGGUGUUGUAGAUAAAAUAUAAUUCUGCCAUAUUCAUUUCUUUCAUUAGAAAACAAACAUUUUAUUUACAAAUAAAGAUUUAUUUUAAACGGACGACUCGGAGCGAAAUAUUCUGAAAAGCAGGUGAUAAGUGUCCAGCGUAGGCGGGAUCUCCUUUAAUACUGUUUAAAAAGCAUCUCAGGGAAAUUCCUCAAGAAAUCUGUCGAGAAAACGCCAAGAAUACAUUUCUGGAAAUUCUCGGCAAAAAGCGGGUCUACUUUGAAGAUGCUAAAAUACUAAAUUAUUUAGAUUUAUUUUGGAUUUUUUGUUUAUCACAACAUAAUUCCCAUAGUUUCAUUUGUGUUACUCCAGAGUGUUGAUGACUUUAUUAUUAUCCUAGAAUAAAUAUGCACCUCAGUUUUAGGAUGGAUUUACAUGUUAAAGACUCGAAACAAACAAACCAGCAAACAAAAUACUGAAAACACACUUAACAACAAAUAAAACUAACUGUAACAUUCACAUAAUCACAAAAAAAAAACAUCUUCAGAAAACAAUAACAACAAAUUAACAAACAAAUGCAGUUUCUGUGAAUAAUAUACAUGAAGGUAGGGUUAUCUGGUGAAUACUAAAGUUGUAAAAAUAUAAACAAACAAUCACCAGGAUAAUCAGCAGGAAAUACACAACAACAACAAUAACAACAACAGUAACAAAGAGCAACAAACAGAAAGACAGAUAAAUGAACGAAUAAAGUGCAUGAAUAAAAAUCAGUCUACGGUGCAUAGCUGAGAAAAACAACAUUUUUCAACAGAUAAACAGACAGAUGAAUAGAUAGAGAGAUAGAGAGAUAGAUAGAUAGAUAGAUAGAUAGAUAGAUAGAUGGGUGGAUGGAUGGAGGGAUUGAUGGAUGGGUGGAUGGAUGGAUAGGUAGAUAGGUAGGUAGGUAGAUGGAUGGAUGGAUGGAUGGAUAGAUGAUAGGUAGGUAGGUAGGUAGAUGGAUGGAUGGAUGGGUGGGUGGAUGGAUGAUGGAUGGAUGGAUAGGUAGAUAGGUAGGUGGAUGGAUGGGUGGGUGGAUGGAUGAUGGAUGAAUGGAUGGAUGGAUGGAUGGAUGGAUAGGUAUGUAGGUGGAUGGAUGGAUGGAUGGAUAGGUAGGUAGGUAGACGGAUCGAUGGAUGGAUGGAUAGGUAGGUAGGUAGAUAGAUAGAUGGAUGGAUGGAUAGGUCAGUAGAUAGAUGGAUGGAUGGAUAGGUAGGUAGGUAGGUCGGUAGAUAGAUGGAUGGAUGGAUAGGUAGGUAGAUUGGUAGGUAGAUGGAUGGAUGCAUAGGUAGGUAGGUAGGUAGACGGAUGGAUGGAUGGAUGGAUAGGUAGGUAGGUAGAUAGAUAGAUGGAUGGAUGGAUAGGUCAGUAGAUAGAUAGAUGGAUGGAUGGAUGGAUAGGUAGGUAGGUAGGUCGGUAGAUAGAUGGAUGGAUGGAUAGGUAGGUAGGUAGGUCGGUAGAUAGAUGGAUGGAUGGAUAGGUAGGUAGAUUGGUAGGUAGAUGGAUGGAUGCAUAGGUAGGUAGGUAGGUAAGUAGAUAAAUGGAUGGAUGGAUAGGUAGGUAGAUAGAUAGAUAGAUAGAUAGAUAGAUAGACGAAUAAACCUGGAAAGUAGUAUUUAUCUUUAUUUUCAUUCAAUAUAUUUCAAUACACCAUUUACUGCACCUUUGUAUAAACAGAGACAAUUUAUUUACAAAUGAUAU
ensembl:lncRNA